UGUUGGCAGUCCUGGGAG
rnacentral:misc_RNA from 1 species